CAUAACCAUUUUGUUCAGAUUCAAUCUUAGCCAAUCCUUUUACUUUUAUUAAUUUUACCUGUAACCUUUGGCAUUGGUAGCAAUUCUGGUUAGCUCAAUGAAUACCAAAAGCACAAUUAAAAAGUGCACAAGAUCUAAUUCACAAAACAAUGAAACCUGUGCCAAUCAAAGUGUGCUUAUUUAUCUCAUUUCAAAAAAGAAAAGAGAAGAAGAAGAAGAAG
rnacentral:misc_RNA from 1 species